CUACAUUUGACCUCCAAUGUCUUCUCUUCUUCUCCUCCUCCUGCCUGAACGUCCUAAAAGAACUCUGCCAUGUCGACGGAGCCGGCUAACCAAAGAUACAUUGCCCCCGCCAUCAUUAAAAUAGUCAUCAUCUUGAUGACCCCCAACAGGAGAGGUAAGGUGAACACCAACAGCAUUCUCAUCUGCUGCAUGUGUAGGCUGCCUUGUUCGUCUACCAAGGUCAUUCCCUGAUGGCCCAAAUGCAUGCAGAAAAAGAAAGAAAUUCAAAACAUUAUUAUCUAACCCCACAUCAAAAUCUCCACCCCUUUCUAUAGCAUCUGCUGUGUCGAGACCACCCUCUUCAUCCGUCUCAAAACCGUGAUGAUUUCUUUCUAUUACAUAAUCACCAAAAACCAUUGCCC
rnacentral:lncRNA from 1 species